AGCUUUGUGUAGUGGCAGUAUCAUAGACAACGAGGUUUCUCUGAGGCACAAUUAUUGCUAAUAGAAAAAAAAAAUGUACCUAAAACAAACUAGAACCAAGUCUUGAAGUCUUGGAUAACUCCAGAUCAUGAGG
rnacentral:snRNA from 1 species